AAUUUUAGAAUUUCUGCAUGCCAUCUUACGAGAUUUAAACUGAUGAUCUAUAAUCCGGAAUCGCCGAAGUCCCGACGAGUCCGGAUUAACGACUUUCGACUGUAAUUGGUCAGUCGAUAGGAUAAUUUGAGAAAACUAUUUUACAAGCGGGUUUGAAUACUCAUGAACAACAAGUUAGAUACUUGGAAAGAAAACUUUCUGCAUCAGAACAGACUCUAGAAAUGUUACAGAAACAACUAUCAGAUGCCAAAAAUGAAAUAGAAGCUACAAAAUUUCAGGAAGUAAAAUGGAAGUGUGUUCUUAACAGAGCUGUGAUGAAAAUUUUCAAAUAUAUUUAAUAAAAACAUGUACAUAUAAUUGUGUAUUUUCUGAAGGGUGCAAUAAUGCUUAAUUAUUCUAUUAAUUUUCUUAAUUAAUGUUUGUAGAUGCAC